GGCCUUGGGUAGCAUCCCCAGGAGAUUAUCCUUAGUUACAGGAGGAAAGACAGAUUUUCUUUCUUUCUGGAUGCAGGGAGGUGCAGAUGUGGUUGAGGGACCUUACACAAGUCCUCUUCUGAUUGAAAUAGGAGGCAACAGUUGAUAUCAAGAAAAAAAGAACUCUUCAGCUUUAUUCAUAAUCACUAAAAACUGCUAAGAAGUCCUUCAACAAGUGAAAGAGUAAACAGAUUGUGGUAUGUCCAUGCAGUGGAACACUGGCUGCCCUAAAGCUGACUAAGCCAACAUGGAUACAGCUUAGACAGACAAUGCUGAAUUGGCCAGUUCCAAAAGUUUCUAGACUGUGUGAUUCCAUUCAUGUGACAUUCUAGAAAAGACAAAAUGAUCAGAACAGAAGAAAAUAGAUCAAGCAUUGCCAGGGCUGGGGUAAGGGAAGGGUUGACUGCCAAGUGACAUUAUGAGGGAUUUUGGGUGAUGGGCCCAUCUGUAUCCUCAUCAUGAUGUUGCCUGGCAGCUGCAUCUGGGGAGGUCCCUCCCUGCGCACUAGGCGGGGGGACUGGUCUCAUAGAGGUCAAAUCACCCACUGGAGUUGGGGUUCGCACCCAGGCCCUUCUGCCACCAGAGCCCAGCCCAGAUGCACAGGCUGUACCCCUCCUCCUGGUGCUCCAGACAGGCAACUGGCAUCAAGGCCUGUGGUCAAGCUUCUGGUGUUCCUGAGCACGUCUGUACAUAGAAUUUUGCCUGGAGCAGCCUGGAAACCACAGAUAGGGUCAUUCCAUUCUUAAGGCAGUUUUGAUGAACAUAGUCUCCUCCACGCCAGCAAGUCUGCCCUCAAGCCAUUGAUUAGCUGUUGGUUCCGCACAGGGUCCCCUCCUGUCUCCCCUUUAAAACGCUCUCACUCUGAACCGCACUUUGGAGAUGACCUUGGAGGAUGCUGGUCCACCUUCUUCCCAGGUUGCCUGCUUCCUAAACAAAGCAAAUUUCCUCCUCACACCAACACAUGUCUCUCGAGUUUUGGCUUUAAAGCAGCUGAACUUGGGUUCGGGACCGGCUUGGUGAGACUUUCUUUGGCUUUAAAAACAGAGUCUAUUUCUUGGAAUGAUAAACUCAAUUGUUUAACUUCAAUUUUAAGCUCAACUUUCCAAUUUCAUGUUGCUUACCCAUUUGGCACAGUUAAACAAUCACUCUUACAUUCUAGACUUUUUAGGGUUAAACUCACUUACUGAGGAAAACAUUUUACCAAUUCUAAUUAUGGCAAUCAGACAACACAAAGAGAUAAAAGGCAUCCAAAUUUGUAAGGAAGAAGUGAAACUGUCCCUAUUUGCAGAUGACAUGAUAUUAUACAUAGAAAACCCUAAAGACUCCACCAAAAAACUAUUAGAACUAAUAACUGGACUCAGCAAGUUACAGGCUACAAAAUUAAUACACAGAAACCUGUUGCAUUCCUAUAUAUAACAAUGAACUAGCCAAAUGAGAAAUCAGGAAAACAAUUCCAUUUACAAUUGCAUCAAAAAGAAUAAAAUACCUAGGAAUAAACCUAACCAAGGAUGUGGAAGACCUAUACUCUGAAAACUAUAAGACACUCAUGAGAGAAAUUAAAGAAGACACCAAUAAGUGGAAAUCUAUCCCAUGCUCAUGGAUAGGAAGAAUUAAUAUUGUCAAAAUGGCCAUCCUGCCCAAAGCAAUUUACAGAUUCAGUGCAAUCCCUAUCAAAUACCAACAGCAUUUUUCAAUGAACUAGAAAAAUAGUUCUAAAAUUCAUAUGGAACCACAAAAGACCUCAAAUAGCCAAAACAAUCCUGAGAAGGAAGAACAAAAUUGGGGAUAUUAUGCUCCCCAAUUUCAAGCUCUACUACAAAGCCACAGUAAUCAAAACAGUAUGGUACUGGCACAAAAACAGACCCAUAGAUCAAUGGAACAGAAUGGAGAGCCCAGAUAUAAAUCCAAGCAUAUAUGGUCAAUUAAUAUAUGAUAUGGAGACAUGAAUAUACAGUGGGGAAAAGACAGCCUCUUCAACAACUGGUGUUGGGAAAACUGGGACAGCUACAUGUAAGAGGAUGAAACUGGAUUACUGCCUAUAUCCAUGCACAAAAGUAAAUUCAAAAUGGGUCAAAGACCUAAAUGUAAGACAUGAACCAUAAAACUCUUAGAAGAAAACAUAAGCAAAAAUCUCUUGAACAUAAGCAA